rnacentral:tRNA from 1 species
GGACCAGUAGUGUAGUGGUGAACAUGUCUGCCUGUCACGCAGAAGAUCGCGGGUUCGAGUCCCGUCUGGUCCGCCA